UCUUCAUCUCUCUUUGUCCCUCACACGACUCGCUCUCUCCCUCUAUAAUAUCCAGCCAUCUUCUCUUCGUUUUGUUACAAGAAAACUCCUGCAAAUCCGGUUGAAACUCACACUUCGCGUUGUCCAUAGUUCUCUUCGUUUUUGUUGUUGCAGCUCAUUUCCUCCAAAUUUUCGUCCCUCCUCCUAACAUAUUAGUGUGCAUCUUCCAGCCUUUUACAUACCUCUUCCCUCUCCAUUUCUUGCAGGAAAAAGCUUCAUCGAUGCAACUUUGAUGAAGAUUCAAGCUGCUCUUAAAGCUUUUUCAUCUCCAUUUUCGCUCACAUAUGUGUGGU